rnacentral:misc_RNA from 1 species
GUGGUGUUUGGAUCGUCCCUGCCGGCUGGCUCCGUGCCCGUCCACCGAACGUCCGGCAGGCGAUCCGCGUCGUCGCGCGAGGUGGUGUCAUGUAUGGUUACCCGGUGGCGGGUUCUUGUGUCGCCUACCCCUUCAGGGGAAGCUCAGGCCACUUGAUGUAAGCCUCCAUCCGGCGCCUUCCUGUGGGCGCCGGAGGACAGCGGAGCACCCCCCGCGUUCCACCGAGCCCUCGUCGGUCGCGUGGCACGCGGGGACGUGCGAUGCUCUCGGACCCAGCGCACGCCGUGGGCGAGGACUCACGUCCCAGUCCCAAGAGAAAUCUCCGAUGUAACGUCGACGGCCGCCCCCGACCCCGACCGCCCCGGCGGUGCGAGGGCGAGGCGCGGCGCCGCGGAGGAAUGCUACCU